rnacentral:lncRNA from 1 species
GAGUGCUGAUCUUUGAUACUCAAAGGUCCGUGAAUCCUGUGGCCUAUGUUCCGGGUAGAAGAAAAGUAUAAAGUCUGCCUUGCUGAAUGGGCUGUCUGCACAGAGGAGUCAAGAGGAACCCGGUGUACCCUGAGGCAGGAGAUGGGACCAGGGGAGGACUCAGAAGCUGGUGGAGGAAGGUCCUUUCUGAGCAGCUCUGACUCCGUUCUUUAGGAUGCGGCAGCCAUUGGGAAGUGUAUAGGUUGCCAACUCUUGUGGGAGAAAGCAGAGAAGCCAAACUGGGCAGAAGGGGAAACGAGGCUGAAAUUCAGUCUCACCAAAGACCCCAUGGCACAAGGAUCUCCUCUAUUGUCUUUCUAUGCAUAGCAAACUAACCCUGUGUUUUGUCUCACUGCCAUGGAGUUGCACUGUGCUGUCUGACAUCUGUUCCAGAGAGAAGGAAUGAGUUCUCCAGCUGAUGGACAUGAUACUUGCACAUAGUCUGUAAAUCAAAAGCUAGUGACCUUUUACAGUUGUUGGGAGUCGGGGAUUUGUGUCAGAUACUUCUGUUCUCCUGUGGAUCUGUCUUUGAGUGCCCUGUGCUCUCACUAACUCCCUCCAUCCCCAACCUCAGGAAGGUCCUAUUGCCCAGGCAAAGCAGCUUUGUGAAGAGCAGUUCCCUGAGAGGGAUGGACACCUAUGGGCUGUUUACAAACUUGUCCAGAAGCUGUGGGGAUGGUGGUUGAGGGCGGAGAUAGAAUGACAUAGUUUCAACUCCAAUGAGACAAGCAUAAUAUAUAAUAUU